rnacentral:rRNA from 1 species
UACGUAGGGUGCAAGCGUUGCCCGGAUUUACUGGGCGUAAAGGGCGCGUAGGCGGACAGUUAAGUUGGGGGUGAAAGCCCGGGGCUCAACCUCGGAAUUGCCUUCAAUACUGGCUGUCUUGAGUGCGGGAGAGGUGUGUGGAACUCCGAGUGUAGAGGUGAAAUUCGUAGAUAUUCGGAAGAACACCAGUGGCGAAGGCGACACACUGGCCCGUUACUGACGCUGAGGCGCGAAAGCGUGGGGAGCAAACAGGG